AGAAUCAACGCUGGCGGCGUGCCUAACACAUGCAAGUCGAACGCGAAAGUGGAGCAAUCCAUGAGUAGAGUGGCAAACGGGUGAGUAACGCGUGGGCGACCUACCUUCGAGUGGGGGAUAACUUUCCGAAAGGAAGGCUAAUACCGCAUGACAUCCCUAUUUUUUGGAGAGAUGGACAUACAAAGCCGGGGAUCGCAAGACCUGGCGCUUGAAAGAGGGCCCGCGUCCGAUUAGCUAGUUGGUGAGGUAACGGCUCACCAAGGCUCCGAUCGGUA
rnacentral:rRNA from 1 species